AUGCCAGGCGAGAGCCCCCCGGGAGACGCGGGCUGUGUUGGCUGCAGUCACGUGGCAGUCACCAGCAUAAGCGGUGGAGUUGACUGGACGCCAGUGUUCAUGACCCUCAGCGAGCCCCCAUUCUGCCUGAUCCUCCAAGCCCGGCCUGCCAGGCGAGGACAUGCCAGGAGACGCGGGCUGUGUUGGCUGUGGUCACAUGGCAGUCGCCGGAGUAAGCGGUGGAGUUGGCUUGAUGCUGGUGUCUGUGACCGUCGGCGAGCACCAUUCUGCCUGAUCCGCCAAGCCCCGCGUGCCAGGCGAGAGCGCCCCGGAGAUGCGGGCUGUGUUGGCUGCGGUCACGUGGCAGUCACCAGUGUCAAUGUAAACUAA
rnacentral:lncRNA from 1 species